UGAAAAUGUGAACAGUUUGUUCUUCCUUUGCUAAUUCCCCCAUCCUCCAAAUGUUGGAAUAAUUUCUCUCUAGGAUUGAGUUUCUCCAGAGUCCAAAAAGACCUGGUGAUCAAGGCUAAGGGUUAGGGUUCGCUAAGGAUAGGGUUGACAGGACCCCUUGGUUACAAGUUUAUGCACACAGGAUUAGGUGUACCCCUGACUGGUGACCUGUGACCCCUUAAAUAGAGGGACUUAGUUUCCCUGGGGAUAUUCGAUGAAAGACAGUGGGCUUUGGAAAAGUAUACAUUAUUGAGUUUUCAAUACCAAAACGUGAACAGCAAAACUUUGGCCAGUUAGCAAAGGAACCUGUUAGUACAGAGUUCUAGCAUGUUAGAGAUCAAGAUGGUGGCAUGGGAGUGCAGUCUGAGAUGUGCUUUCUGGGAGUAAAGCCUUAAAGGGCGUGAGUGAGGUCAAGGGCCUUCAGACAGGACCCUGCUCAGGAGCACUGUGUUUAUUGGACCCCCACCCUCCUGGCCAUCUGCCUAUUGCUCAUGCUUUGGACCCAUCGGAGGUUUUACAAGUCACCAGGAGACUGACCUUGACUCCUACAGUGGAUGAGCCUAUUUCUGAACCACCAACAGACAGGCACAUUUGUGGCCUCUCUUUCUGGAGGUUGGCCAAGGCCAAUGGCAGAUCUCCCGGGAGUAGCUUACUGUAUAAGGAGCUAGCUCUGGUCCCUGCUCCUCUCUACUCCACUCCAGUCCUCCUGCUUGUGGAGAAACACUGGGAACCUCUGAGCCUGCAGAGUGAAGGCAGACAGAACUGCAGCUCACAUCAUCCUAGAGCCACACCUCUACCCAUUGAGCUGACCACCAGUUACCCAAACAAAG
rnacentral:lncRNA from 1 species